CAGGAUUCCAUGGUUCAGCACAUAUCCAGCCCAGAGGGCAAAGCCAGCCUCCUCUUUUGACAAGUACUUGUCAUGAAGAGGGAGAAACAACAUGGAGGAGGGGAAAAAUUUUGACACUCAUCUCCUGUGCCUGCAAUUCAUAACUCAAUCUUGUUCAAUUGCUCUCUCUUUUGAAUAGAGUCUGGCAAUAGGGUGAAAUAACCAAGAACUCUACUACACCCCCUCAGAAGAACCAGAGGUAUCAGCUACCAUAUUUGUCUGUAUAUCCAAUAUUCCAGCCUCAACACCUUUCCUUGAAAAUCUAGAGGUCAUCAAUAAAAUGAAAAGCCAUUUCAUUCUAUUGGUGAAAACAGAAGCUUUUCUGCAGCAUAUCAAGAGCUUUGGUGUUGCUGGUAAUCCAUGGCUUUCCUUAAGUUGCAAUGGCAUAACCAACCUCUGCCUCCAUUGUCAUGCUCUCUGCCUGUGUCUUCACAUCCCUUAUAAGGACUCCAGUCAUGUUGGAUUGAGGGCUCAGCCUACUCCAGGAAGACUUCAUCUGAGCUAAUUACAUCUGUAACCACCUUAUUUCCAAAUAAGUCUGGCAAAGCUCUCAACUAGAUUAUACUAUAAAGAAUAUGAAUAGCCAACAAUUACGGAGUACUUAUUAGAAGUCAAGACUCUUCUGAGUAGUUUGCUUGGAUUAUCUCAUGCAAUCUCAAUAUUGGAUUUAGCCAAGGAAUAUCAUCUUGCUUGGUCAUCAGCAUGUAACUGAUGCAUCGAUACUUCUCAGCCAUAUUUAGCUAAUCUCACAUGUUCACACCUACUGAUCUCUAAAGGCCAGCUAGUCGACCAGAACUGAUUCUCAACUUAUCAGUAAUCAUGCAAAGUUUAUAGAGGUGACAUAGCAGAAAUUUGAUACCUAAAGAAGCGAAGUAACUGAGAAGUCUCAGAUAACAAAUGAUAAAGCCAGAAUUUAAACUCGUGUGUUCCUGACAUCAAAACUCCUACUCUUCACUGCAAUGUUCGACUGCCUAUCAAGGAACUCUUUACCUCCACAAGUCAAUAUCCAUCACCUCAUAUAGAUUGCUGCCACAGCAUGGCUGACAAGUAGCGUAGGUCCCUGCCUGGGAUCCAAGCCUGACAACCCCGGCCACUGAAACAGAGUGCAUGGAACUUUAAACACUCGGCCACAGGGCCGGCCCCCAUGUUAUUUUUAUUAAUCUUCCAAAUGUCUUUUUAUUGCUAAUAAAGUGUCUCAAGAGAAAAC
rnacentral:lncRNA from 1 species